AACCCAUGGUGAGGGCAUUGAUUAGUACUGUAGCUCAUGAAUCUCUCCCAAGCCUCAUCAAAAAGUUUCAUCGUGGUGUUGGGUAAAGGAUAAGAUCUGAUUCCUGAGCUU
rfam:Eutrema salsugineum unplaced genomic scaffold scaffold_9, whole genome shotgun sequence.